CAAUAGCCCAGAUGACAAUGAAAUCCUUUUACAGCCUCGUUAUAUUUUUUCUUAGACUAAAAGAGCGACCUACGGAAGCUCCUUUUAGGCUUUAGAAAAAAAUAAACGAGACCAGAAAGGAUGUAAUGAACAGCUGGAAAAAGC
rfam:Flavobacterium frigoris strain DSM 15719 genome assembly, contig: Ga0131223_102